CCCUUAGAUGUUCUGGGCCGCACGCGUGCUACACUGAGUGGAUCAGCGGGUCAGGUUGCGCGAAAGCGUUUCCUAAUCUUUAAAUCCGCUCGUGAUGGGGAUUGACGGUUGCAAUUUUCUGUCAUGAACGAGGAAUACCUUGUAAGCGCGGGUCAUCAUCCCGCGCUGAAUACGUCCCUGCCCUUUGUACACACCGCCCGUCGCUCCUACCGAUUGAGUGGUCCGGUGAGGCUUUGGGAUCUGAGCGGAAAGAGCGUUUCGCUGUUUCUGCUCGGAAAACUCAGUCGAACCUUAUCAUUGAGAGGAAGGAGAAGGCGGAACA
rnacentral:rRNA from 1 species